AUGGUCAAGCGACUAAGGGCACAUGGUGGAUGCCUUGGCGCUGGGAGGCGAUGAAGGACGCAGCCGACGGCGAAACGCCACGGGUAGUCGUUAAGCGGGCUUUGAUCCGUGGAUUUCCGAAUGGGGCAACCCGGUGCGGGUUAUGCCGCACCAUCCCCAAGCUGAACACAUAGGCUUGGGGAAGCCAACCGGGAGAACUGAAACAUCUUAGUAACCCGAGGAACAGAAACCAACAGGGAUUCCCUGAGUAGUGGCGAACGAAAGGGGACAUAGCCCAAACCGCUGACGUGUAUAAGGUUACGGCCGUUGCGUCAGCGGGGUUGUGGGACAUCCCACGCCGAACCGUAGAUCGGCUAGGAGUUAUAAAACCCUAGGUUAGCCGAAGUUCUCUGGAAAGAGACGCCACAGAGGGUGAUAGCCUCGUAGGCGAAAACCGACAGGACUCCGAGGGGUGUUCCCAAGUAGCGCCGGACACGAGAAAUCCGGUGUGAAUCUGGGAGGACCAUCUUCCAAGGCUAAAUACUACCCAGCGACCGAUAGUGAACCAGUACCGUGAGGGAAAGGUGAAAAGAACCCCGGGAGGGGAGUGAAAUAGUACCUGAAACCGUGUGCCUACAAGGUGUGGGAGCGGCUUUAUGCCGUGACCGCGUGCCUUUUGUAGAAUGAGCCGGCGAGUUACCGUUCGGAGCAAGGUUAAGGCUGAGAGGCCGGAGCCGGAGCGAAAGCGAGUCUGAACAGGGCGAACAGUUUCGGAUGGUAGACGCGAAACCUGGUGACCUAGCCAUGGGCAGGUUGAAACGACCGUAAAAGGUUGUGGAGGACCGAACCCACAAGAGAUGAAGAUCUUGGGGAUGACCUGUGGCUAGCGGUGAAAAGCCAAUCGAACCAGGAGAUAGCUCGUUCUCCCCGAAAUAGCUUUAGGGCUAGCCUCGCGUGAUAAGUAACGGUUGUAGAGCACUGAUUGAGCUAGGGGACCCACCAGUCUACCAAACUCAGAUAAACUCCAAAUGCCGUUACUCGUAUCGUGGGAGUCAGACUGCGGGGGCUAAGCUCCGUAGUCGAGAGGGAAACAGCCCAGACCGACAGCUAAGGUCCCUAAAUCCAUGCUAAGUGGAAAACGAUGUGGGAUUACCCAGACAGCCAGGAGGUUGGCUUAGAAGCAGCCAUUCCUUUAAAGAGUGCGUAACAGCUCACUGGUCAAGUGAUCCUGCGCGGAAAAUGUAACGGGGCUCAAGCAUGGUACCGAAGCUUCGGAUCCUUUUG
rnacentral:rRNA from 1 species